AAGUUUGAAGAACACACAAGUUCUUGGCAUCAGAAAACGUGAUAAAUAAAUUGAAGAGAAAAUGGUUUGUUUCCCGUUGCCAAGUCAUAACUCCUCCCCUCUCCUGUCAUCCUCUCUGUCCGACCCCAUCCCCUCACCCCCUUUCCCUGACCCUUCUCGUGUUCCAGCAGUAACCUCCUGCCUCUGUUCACCUUGUCGUCCUGUGCAUCUGGCUGCAGCAGGCUGUGCUGCUGUAUGGCCAUAGGUGGAGGCAGUGGCACCGAGUCGGCGCCUUCCUCGCCCUCCUCCUCACCGCAGCUCUGCAUGCCCGAAGAACUGGACUUGGACAGCGUGCCACUCGACAGGCCCUCGUUCCGAACCCUCUGCGACAGUGGAAGUGGAUUGUAAGGUAGAGAUCAGUACACAGAGCUCCGCAGACGCUGCCAACUGCACAGAGGUGAGUCCACCCACCUCCUCCACCGUCUCAUCCUGAGGCGUGGCCGCGCUGUCGUCCGAGUCUUUCUGCGAGCCCAUCGUCAUCUCCCCGCUCUUCCUAACCUCGCGGCUCUUCUUGUGCUUGUGAGCCAGCUUCUUCACAUGGCCGUCGGCCUUGCCGCUGCUCAGCCGCCGCACAGGGCUGGUGAGCCACUUCCGCAGGGUGUUACCUAGGCGAUGAGCCAAACACGUGAAACUCAGUUUGCUGCGGCACUGUACUAUAACAGUCGAAGAUACCAUACCUGGUCGUUUUGGCCCUGGUGACGUGUGGGAGCCGAUGCCAUGGCCGGGCUGGAGCGUGGCGGACGAUCCUGGCAUGAUGGAGUCAUUGCUGCACACUGACAGAGUGUCUGCGAUACAGAAAGCCACGCUAUCAUUAAAAUUAAUAAUUUUCAUAUGAUGCAGACAUCCACAAAGUAUCAAAGCAUUUUUUUUUCAGACCAUCCUCACGUGUCCUCACACGUGUCCUCACACGUGUCAAGCGGUUCACAGCGCACACACUCUGACCUUUGUGGUUGAAGAUGCCCUCCAUCUCCAUGGAGGACCUGGAGUGGGCAAUGCAGAGCAUGGAGCAGGGCACCAGGCCCUCCUGGGACGGCGAGCGGUCUGUUGUCCUGACCAGGCACCAGUCCGGCUUGUCGUGACAACGCUCCAGAACCUCCACCGUCUGUCCGCGCCGCACGGUCAGCUCGUUGCUGUUGCUGGCCAUGAAGUCGUGUAUGACCACAGUCAGCUCGCAGCCACCGGAGAGCUGAGGGGGAAAGGAAUGUGACGCUCAGUGCACAGUGUUCUGCAGAAAGUGUGCAGUCCGGAGUCGGGACGUCCUUUCUAAUCACCUGUUUGUGCAUUCUCACCUUGUCGCUGUCCAGCGUGUUCUGAGAAGUACGUGAGGCCAGGGAGAUAGUGUCUGGUUGGCUGCUGCCUUCACCCUGACUGUCCAGGUCCUCUCCAUCCCUAACAAACACACACACAUUUGAUCCAAUUCUUUUUGUCUCCGUUCCUUGACACUGACACUGCAGCUGCUGACACACGCUUACCUUCGCCCUUUGUGGUGCUUGGCUGUGGUUGCUUUUGGAAUAUGGAUGGGCUCCUUGAGGGCCCCUCUCAGGUGAAUGGUGCGCUCCUGGAUCACCUCCCGGAUGUGCUUGAUCCAGUCCUGCUUGUUCUCAAUGCUUGAUGCCUGCACAGGACGGAGGGAGGUUGAGAAGUCAAAAGUAUUCCGGUCAAUUUGGUAAAGUUUGCAUUGGUGUGACGACUGACCACUUGGAGCCGAAGAAGCUGGACAUCUCCCCAGACCGUUAACUAACUAGCACCAACUAUUUCCGCCAUUAAAUGUUAGACUGCCUGCAUCAAUUACUUUUAGCUGUUGAUUUCAACCAUUGAUCCAUUAGCAAACUAACAUUGACUAAAUUAUUUUCUGUUUAUCUUUUACAUUAACUAUUUCAACCAGUUAUCCAUCACUUUUGCCUUUUGAACCGCUUACAAAUGAACCUCACUUUUAGCUAACUAAUAUGUUGGAUAUAUUUUUGUAAUGAAAUGUAUGUUAUUACGGUUUCAAUGUUAUGUUUAUUUCUGUAUUUUUUUUUCAGAUUUGUUGUGAUACAUCAUAAUCUUAGUACUUAUCGGCAACUGCACUCUUCAGGUACAAGUGGUUGGGAAUCACUGCCCUAGAAUAUUUUACAAUCUUCCGCUGUGAUGCUGCGUUUGUUUUCUCAGAUACUGUUAAUGAGGAUAAGAAGUGCCAAGAGUUUUUCUUUCAGACUUGUGCGAUGUGGCUGAGGGCUGUGUUGUGGGAUAGUUUGUACUCACCAUGGCUCCAUGUUUGGAUCCCUGACUUAGCUUUGAAUUUAAAAUAUGAAAUAAGAGAAUUUCACUGGUUUGGUCUCAGAAGACACACAUGACAUUUCUUAUGCUGACAAAACGGUUUGACAUGGAUAGAAACGCACAACACUGAUCAUUUGUCUUGAAAAGUGCACUGAGGGCCAAUUCAAUGUGUGGCAGAUUGUAAUGGAUGGUGUGUGUGUGUCUGUGUGUCAGUGAGAAUAUGUGUAGUUAGUAAUGAGACAUUUAAUUUACAAUGUGCAUACCACAUGACUGCUUCUGAGUGGUUAGUUUGGUUGUCAACAUGUAUCAUGGAGUUGUUACGCUCAGAAUUAAAUGUGUGAGGAUUUUGGCUUCAUGCUGUUGCAAUGGCUGACCCAAAUUUGAAUCCAUCUGUGGCAGUAUUCAACAGGAAAUACAGGAGCCAUUUGAAACAUUC